UACCAAUGAUGAUAAAAUUUGGGCUUGUUUCUCAAAAUAUUCGCUGUUAUCACAUAAGGUCUUUUGCCCUGCUAGGCUUGAGAGCUAAUGCUGUUAGAUCCCUCCUUGGAUGUCUGUGGGC